GACGAACGCUGGCGGCGUGCUUAACACAUGCAAGUCGAGCGGUAAGGCCCUUUCGGGGGUACGACGAGCGGCGAACGGGUAGAGUAACACGUGGGUGACCUGCCCUUAGCUCUGGGAUAAGCCUGGGAAACUGGGUCGUAAUACCGGAUAUGACUCCAUGACGCAUGUUGUGGGGUGGGAAAGCCUUGUGCGGCUAGGGAUGGGCCCGCGGCCUAUCAGCUUGUUGGUGGGGUGAUGGCCUACCAAGGCGACGACGGGUAGCCGGCCUGAGAGGGCGACCGGCCACACUGGGACUGAGACACGGCCCAGACUCCUACGGGAGGCAGCAGUGGGGAAUCUUGCGCAAUGGGCGAAAGCCUGACGCAGCGACGCCGCGUGAGGGAUGACGGCCU
rnacentral:rRNA from 1 species